AUUGAACGCUGGCGGCAGGCCUAACACAUGCAAGUCGAACGAGGGGCGGACGGGUGAGUAAUGUCUGGGAAAAUGCCCGAUGGAGGGGGAUAACUACUGGAAACGGUGGCAAAUACCGCAUACCAUCGGAUGUGCCCAGAUGGGAUUAGCUAGUAGGUGGGGUAACGGCUCACCUAGGCGACGAUCCCUAGCUGGUCUGCGAGGAUGACCAGCCACACUGGAACUGAGCACCGGUCCAGACUCCUACGGGAGGCAGCAGUGGGGAAUAUGGCACAAUGGGCGCAAGCCUGAUGCAGCCAUGCAGCGUGUAUGAAUAAGGCCUUCGGGUUGUAAAGUACUUUCAGCGGGGAGGCGUUACCCGCAGAAGAAGCACCGGCUAACUCCGGGCCAGCAGCCGCGGUAAUAC
rnacentral:rRNA from 1 species